ACACUCCUACGGGAGGCAGCAGUGGGGAAUAUUGCACAAUGGGCGCAAGCCUGAUGCAGCCAUGCCGCGUGUGUGAAGAAGGCCUUCGGGUUGUAAAGCACUUUCAGCGGGGAGGAAGGCGAUACGGUUAAUAACCGUGUUGAUUGACGUUACCCGCAGAAGAAGCACCGGCUAACUCCGUGCCAGCAGCCGCGGUAAUACGGAGGGUGCAAGCGUUAAUCGGAAUUACUGGGCGUAAAGCGCACGCAGGCGGUCUGUCAAGUCGGAUGUGAAAUCCCCGGGCUCAACCUGGGAACUGCAUUCGAAACUGGCAGGCUUGAGUCUUGUAGAGGGGGGUAGAAUUCCAGGUGUAGCGGUGAAAUGCGUAGAGAUCUGGAGGAAUACCGGUGGCGAAGGCGGCCCCCUGGACAAAGACUGACGCUCAGGUGCGAAAGCGUGGGGAGCAAACAGGAUUAGAUACCCCUGUAGUCC
rnacentral:rRNA from 1 species